rnacentral:misc_RNA from 1 species
UGCCACUAGGGUUGUAGGUAACAACGCAUACACAACCACGUAUUUUUUGAUUGCAGAAUAUAUCCUCCCUGAAAUUGGCGGUCUUAUUCAAUGCAGCAAUUACGAUUGUGGACCAAUCGCUCCUGAUUAAAGGUGGCAGCUGUGGAUGUGAGAUGGCUAUUGAUGAAGUGAAUAUUGAAAAUUUGUGCAAUCAACAAAAGCCUAUUGUGAUUGCUUGAUAAUUUUUCAAUAAUAAUAUCUCAAACUCGAAGAAAAAUAAUUAAUAAUUUAAAUAAUUUGUCGAAUUAUGUUUCUCAUAUUACCUACGUAAUCAUUGAAUAAAGUUGAAUACCAUUUUG